rnacentral:lncRNA from 1 species
AUGUCACAGAGUUCUGGAUCUCAGCCCCUAACUGCCCACCACCACCCACCGUGGACUCUACUGCCCAGCCUGUUCCUGACCCCCAGCAUCUCAUUUUGUGUUUGGUUUUCUACCUGUGGCUCCAUCUCCAUGAUCCCACCAUUCUGUACCACGUCUGUAACCUUGGCUGCCACCACGCUGACUCUUCUUCUGGAUGAGCUGCUGUCAGGAAUCCUAGGUAUGAUGACCAGGUUGUCAACGGAUGGAUGGCUGAAAAAGAAAAAACGGGUUCCCAUUUUGUACACCAGUAAGAGAUCCUGCCAUAUCCAUGCAGAACUCUCCUCCAUUGGUUCCCACAAGAAAUCUGAGAAAUUGCUUGUAUCUGCAAGUAAUGAGAUCCGAAGAGGAUUAAAGAAGCAAUAGAGGUCAGGACCCUGAG